GACGAACGCUGGCGGCGUGCCUAACACAUGCAAGUCGAGCGGGGGGAGUACUUCGGUACAAACCUAGCGGCGGACGGGUGAGUAACACGUGGGUAACCUGCCUCAAAGUGGGGGAUAGCCUUCCGAAAGGAAGAUUAAUACCGCAUAACCCAUAGCUUCCGCAUGGAAGCAAUGGUAAAGAUUUAUCGCUUUGAGAUGGACCCGCGGCGCAUUAGCUAGUUGGUGAGGUAACGGCUCACCAAGGCCACGAUGCGUAGCCGACCUGAGAGGGUGAUCGGCAACAUUGGAACUGAAACACGGUCCAGACUCCUACGGGAGGCAGCAGUGGGGAAUAUUGCACAAUGGGCGAAAGCCUGAUGCAGCAACGCCGCGUGAGUGAUGAAGGCCUUCGGGUUGUAAAGCUCUGUCUUUUGGGACGAUAAUGACGGUACCAAAGGAGGAAGCCACGGCUAACUACGUGCCAGCCGCCGCCGUAAGAC
rnacentral:rRNA from 1 species